AUUCAAGAAAUGCUUUGCAGAUCAUCCCAGGCCCCCAGCUCAAAGAACCAUCACAAGGCUUUGUGGACCAAGGGGAUUAGCACUGCUUUCCCAAGACAGGUUAUGUGAUUAUGAUCUUCAGGCUUUGCCUAUCCAGGUUGAGCAGUUGAUGGAAUGGAAUGAUGUUGAGCGGGUGUUCAUUUGACAUUUCAAGAAAUGUAACCUUGAGUAUACAUCUUCAUAUGUAUAUCUCACACGUUUUCCGCUGCAAAACACUUUGAUUAGGAUAGCUCUAUGUUAUGAAGUUGUUAUACGUGUUAUUGGGUAACCCACCUUAAUCAGUUCUCAUUUAUGUGUAUGUUUUAUAAGUAUUCAAAUAAUCAUAUAUGAUCCUAGCAUUUUAUCUAUUAGUGACAUUUCCAUAUACUUUAAUGUUAAGUAAUUGUCCAUUUCCA